UACAGAGGGGGCAAGCGUUGUUCGGAAUUACUGGGCGUAAAGCGUGCGCAGGCGGUUUUGUAAGCCAGAUGUGAAAUCCCCGGGCUCAACCUGGGAAUGGCAUUUGGGACUGCAAGGCUGGAGUGUGGCAGAGGAGACUGGAAUUCCUGGUGUAGCAGUGAAAUGCGUAGAUAUCAGGAGGAAUACCGAUGGCGAAGGCAGGUCUCUGGGCUAACACUGACGCUCAUGCACGAAAGCGUGGGGAGCAAACAGG
rnacentral:rRNA from 1 species